UACGGGGGGGGCAAGCGUUGUUCGGAAUUACUGGGCGUAAAGGGCUCGUAGGUGGCCAACUAAGUCAGACGUGAAAUCCCUCGGCUUAACCGGGGAACUGCGUCUGAUACUGGAUGGCUUGAGAUUGGGAGAGGGAUGUAGAAUUCCAGGUGUAGCGGUGAAAUGCGUAGAUAUCUGGAGGAAUACCGGUGGCGAAGGCGGCAUCCUGGACCAUUACUGACGCUGAGGCGCGAAAGCUAGGGGAGCAAACGGGG
rnacentral:rRNA from 1 species